UACGGAGGGGGCUAGCGUUGUUCGGAAUUACUGGGCGUAAAGCGUGCGUAGGCGGCUUUGUAAGUCAGAGGUGAAAGCCCAGGGCUCAACCCUGGAAUUGCCUUUAAGACUGCAUCGCUUGAACAUCGGAGAGGUAAGUGGAAUUCCGAGUGUAGAGGUGAAAUUCGUAGAUAUUCGGAAGAACACCAGUGGCGAAGGCGACUUACUGGACGAUUGUUGACGCUGAGGUGCGAAAGCGUGGGGAGCAAACAGG
rnacentral:rRNA from 1 species